GGGUGAUCUGCCCUGCACUUUGGGAUAAGCCUGGGAAACUGGGUCUAAUACCGAAUAUGACCACGCGCUUCAUGGUGUGUGGUGGAAAGCUUUUGCGGUGUGGGAUGGGCCCGCGGCCUAUCAGCUUGUUGGUGGGGUAAUGGCCUACCAAGGCGACGACGGGUAGCCGGCCUGAGAGGGUGACCGGCCACACUGGGACUGAGAUACGGCCCAGACUCCUACGGGAGGCAGCAGUGGGGAAUAUUGCACAAUGGGCGCAAGCCUGAUGCAGCGACGCCGCGUGAGGGAUGACGGCCUUCGGGUUGUAAACCUCUUUCAAUAGGGACGAAGCGCAAGUGACGGUACCUAUAGAAGAAGGMCCGGCCAAYUACGUGCCAGCAGCCGCGGUAAUACGUAGGGUCCGAGCGUUGUCCGGAAUUACUGGGCGUAAAGAGCUCGUAGGUGGUUUGUCGCGUUGUUCGUGAAAACUCACAGCUUAACUGUGGGCGUGCGGGCGAUACGGGGAGUACGGCCGCAAGGCUAAAACUCAAAGGAAUUGACGGGGGCCCGCACAAGCGGCGGAGCAUGUGGAUUAAUUCGAUGCAACGCGAAGAACCUUACCUGGGUUUGACAUGCACAGGACGACUGCAGAGAUGUGGUUUCCCUUGUGGCCUGUGUGCAGGUGGUGCAUGGCUGUCGUCAGCUCGUGUCGUGAGAAGCGCAACCCUUGUCUCAUGUUGCCAGCACGUUAUGGUGGGGACUCGUGAGAGACUGCCGGGGUCAACUCGGAGGAAGGUGGGGAUGACGUCAAGUCAUCAUGCCCCUUAUGUCCAGGGCUUCACACAUGCWACAAUGGCCGGUACAAAGGGCUGCGAUGCCGUGAGGUGGAGCGAAUCCUUUCAAAGCCGGUCUCAGUUCGGAUCGGGGUCUGCAACUCGACCCCGURAAGUCGGAGUCGCUAGUAAUCGCAGAUCAGCAACGCUGCGGUGAAUAC
rnacentral:rRNA from 1 species